rnacentral:rRNA from 1 species
UUGGUCCUACGGGGCGCAGCAGUGAGGAAUAUUGGUCAAUGGGCGAGAGCCUGAACCAGCCACGUCGCGUGAGGGAGUACUGCCCUAUGGGUUGUAAACCUCUUUUGUCGGGGAGCAAAGAGAGUCACGUGUGGCUCAUUGAGAGUACCCGAAGAAAAAGCAUCGGCUAACUCCAUGCCAGCAGCCGCGGUAAUACGGAGGAUGCGAGCGUUAUCCGGAUUUAUUGGGUUUAAAGGGUGCGCAGGCGGAGGUGCAAGUCAGUGGUCAAAUUGCGGGGCUCAACCCCGUACUGCCGUUGAAACUGC